UACGUAGGGGCCUAGCGUUGUCCGGAUUUAUUGGGCGUAAAGAGCUCGUAGGCGGUUUGGUAAGUCUGGUGUGAAAUCUCCACGCUCAACGUGGAGGGGCCACCCGAUACUGCCAUGACUGGGGUCCGGUAGAGGAGUGUGGAAUUCCCGGUGUAGCGGUGAAAUGCGUAGAUAUCCGGAGGAACACCAGGGGCGAAAGCGGCCGACUGGUCGAGUACUGACGCUGAGGCGCGACGGCGUGGGGAGCAAACCG
rnacentral:rRNA from 1 species